rnacentral:lncRNA from 1 species
GAACAUUCCAAACCAACUGUCACAUGACAGCUCUGCCAAGAGUUAGCUUCCCUUCAACUGACCAACCCUGGCCAACCAGUUACUGUGAAUUAGCCAGGAAAGUGGCCACCAGGGCUGGUGCUUUGGUGGCUUAAUGGGUGAAGUCUGGGACACUCAAGGUCUCACUGACAAUGAAUCUGAGCAGCCAUCCGGGCAGUCUGGACUAAGGUCUGGCUGACAGCGGGAGUGGGCCGCACUGACGCAGAGUGGGCACCUCCUCUGCUCCUUCCCUCCUCCCCAGAUCUGGUCUCUAUAGCUCCUCAUCCAAUCCUAGACCCUGCCCUGGCAGGAGACCAACUGCUAUAUUCUCUUAGAUGGUCCGCUCCAUACCAACAGCCUGGGAGCCCACCCCUGGACUCUCCCUGAGGAUCACCGGACCCUCAUUGCUUCUGCUACCAAAUGUUCAUUCCAGCAACCGGAUGGCACUGUCCCUUCUUACCAACGUCCCAGGCAGACAAGAACAGGGAAGAGUGCUGGUUUGCUCUGGAUUGUUUCAGCAGAGCCAGAAACCCGAGGACCUGGGUUCAGAGGGACACAGGCCCAGCUGCUGAUGAGUGGACUGGAGCCAUGGAGACACCCUGGCCUUGCCCUGCAUGGAGCCCUCUACUGCCCUGGCAUCCUGAGUCCUGGGGACUUGGGGGCAAUGGAGGCAGGGCCCUUAGCUGGACACAGUGCAGAUGGAGCAGAACAUGAAAGAUGGGUCUCUGAGCCCACGGAGCAGGAGACCCAGUGCUCAGGGAAGUCUCCGUGUGGACAAGGCAGAGAGGAGAUCUCGUGAGUCCUCCCCAUUCUCCAGAAGGUGCAUGGAGAUCUGAGUGUUUACCUGGGCUCCUUGAUGUUAUGGUGACAGUAUAACUCCAAUAGUUAUAGCUUGAUGAGCACUCGGUGUGUGUCAGGCUCUUUUCACCGAUUAGCUUCUUAACUCCCUUGAAGUUAGUUCUUGCCCUACAUACCAGGAAAUUGAGUCUCAGAGAGGUGAUGUGACCUGCUCAGAGUCACACAUAACUGGACAGGCUGCUAUCUGGCAAAGUUUCUGUUUAAAUCCAAAGGUCAGAGACAUGGUAUUGUCCUAUUGUCCAUAGCAGUUGCUAAUUAUUGAGCUCCUACUAUGUGCUGGGCACUGUUUGAGGUUUGGAGGAUACAGAGAUGAAUAAAACAGACCCGUUCUAUAAGCA